UACGGAGGAGGCGUAAGCGUUAUCCGGAAUUAUUGGGCGUAAAGAGCUCGUAGGCGGUUUGUCGCGUCUGCCGGUGAAAGUCCGGGGCUCAACCCCGGACUUGCGGUGGGUACGGGCAGACUAGAGUGUGGUAGGGGAGACUGGAAUUCCUGGUGUAGCGGUGAAAUGCGCAGAUAUCAGGAGGAACACCGAUGGCGAAGGCAGGUCUCUGGGCCACUACUGACGCUGAGAAGCGAAAGCGUGGGGAGCGAACAGG
rnacentral:rRNA from 1 species